rnacentral:rRNA from 1 species
UUGAACGCUGGCGGCAUGCUUUACACAUGCAAGUCGAGCGGCAGCGCGGGGGCAACCCUGGCGGCGAGCGGCGAACGGGUGAGUAACAUAUCGGAACGUACCCAUUGGUGGGGGAUAACACAUCGAAAGAUGUGCUAAUACCGCAUACGACCUGAGGGUGAAAGGGGGGGAUCGCAAGACCUCUCGCCGUUGGAGCGGCCGAUGUCGGAUUAGCUGGUUGGUGGGGUAAAGGCCUACCAAGGCGGCGAUCCGUAGCUGGUCUGAGAGGAUGAUCAGCCACACUGGGACUGAGACACGGCCCAGACUCCUACGGGAGGCAGCAGUGGGGAAUUUUGGACAAUGGGCGCAAGCCUGAUCCAGCCAUGCCGCGUGAGUGAAGAAGGCCUUCGGGUUGUAAAGCUCUUUCAGACGGAAAGAAAUCGGGCGGGUGAAUAGCCUGCCUGGAUGACGGUACUGUCAGAAGAAGCACCGGCUAACUACGU